CCCUAAGUUGACUUUUUCCAGAGAAAGGUGGUUGGGGAUAGCCCCCUGUUAAUGUCAGAAGAGUUGGUGAAAGGCACAAAAUAGUAAGACAGACUGACUCUGGUUUUGGGGUAGAUGCUCGAGCAGAUUCAGGGGGUCCCUUGAGGCCUGAUCCGCCUUUGCCCGUCAGGUCUCUUCUGCAUGACCUUUGUCAUGGGUGGGAUCUCAUGGGGUCACAAAGAGUCAGACACAACUUAGCGACUAAAUAGCAAUAUUAUUCAGCUAGCCUCACCAUCCCCCUUUAAACACAAAUAAAUCAGAACCUAAGUGCCCCUUUGACCGCCUAACGUUGUACCCCAUCCUGUGUCCCAAGAGAGACCACUAUUAACUCAACUUGGGGUGUAUUUUUUUGACCAUUUUUAUCUUUAACAUAUGUACAUAUAUUCACACAGCAGAUUUAUUUAGUAUAUUGUUGAUGGUGAAUUUUUUAAAUUAAAAACUCAAGUGGCAUAUUAUUCAACAUCGUUCUCUGUUUUAAGAUUCAUCUAUUAAUAGAUACAAAAGUAGUUCAGCUGCCACCAUUGAAAACUAUUUGCGUUUCGUAGUAAAAUAUACACAAAAUUUGCCAUUUUAACCACUUUUAAAUCUGCAGCUCCACGGCAUUAAGCACAUUCACAUUGUUGUACAACCUCCACCAUCAACUCCGAUUUUCAUCAGCAUAAACUGAAACUCUGUCCCCCUUAAACAACUCCCCGAUUCCCCAUCGCCCUCACCCCAGGGACCUCUCUUCUUUCUAUUUCGAUGAGUUUGCCUCUUUCAGAUAUUUCGUAUAAGAAGCAUCACAUAGUAUUGAUGCUUUUCUGUCUGAUUUUGUCUCACUUUGCAUAAUGUUUUCAAGCUUCCUGCAUCUCACAGCACUAUCGGCACUUCAUCUGGCAAUCCAGGCCUUCUGUUUGCGCUCAAUCGACCUGCACCUGUUUACAUUUUCUUUUGCAAGCCAUCUGCAACCUUUUCCACCUGGGUUUGAUCUGUCCCUGCCAAUGAAUUGUAAACUAGGGCCAAAAAAAAAAAAAAAAAAACCACCAAGGGACACUGGUUCGAUCCCUGGUGUGGGAGGACCCACGUGCCUCUCAGCAACCGAGUCCGUGAGCUCCAACUACUGAAGCCUGGUCUGGGUAACUGGAGCACCUGGGUUACCAGGUACACGCUCCAGGAGGAGCAAAUGAUUUUAUUUCUUAGACUUCUCUUUUCCCAUCUGGAAAAUGGGGCUAAUUCCUGUCUCAGCUCCUUGACUGUAAAAAUAAGGCAUCGCAGGGUGAUCAUCCCUGGUGAUCCAGUGACUAAGACUCUGCACUCCCAAUGCAGGGGGCCCGGGUUCAAUCGCUGGUCAGGGAACUAAGAUCCUACAUGCCACAACUAAAGACCCUGCACAGCCAAAUAAAUAAGUUAAUAAAAAUAGAUUAAAAAAAAAUAAGGCAUAUGUAUAGAAAAGCCUGCAUGGGCAGAUCUUGCCUCUUGACAAGUCAACCCCCGGCAGCCUGGUCUGGGUGGCCUGAGGUUCCCCCGACGCCUGGCAGGGGCUUGACAGAGGAAAUAAAAAGCUACAGAAACCCUUUCUAACCCUCCUUCCUCCUCUCCUCUUGGCUGGAAGGGCUGGGAUGGUUUUUCUGGGCUGGAAAUAUUUGUCUUUGUUCGAGAAGAGAAAGACGGCUGAGCAGGUGUAGGCUGCACAUAGAGACUUCCUGCCAGAGAAAAUAGCAUGGAGAAGGGUAAAGAGUAACUUUGCAGCGGAGAUGCCUGAGGAGCAUGAACGCCAAGGCAGGUGACCAAAGUCAAUAGCGAGAUGAUGGCGCGUCGAUAGUAUUACCUUUGACUUGAGGCGACGACAAUGGCACCUGGUCUGUGUGGCACAUGGUCUGCCUUCCAACAUGCCCCUGCUCACAGUCUGAUCGUGAGAAAAGCAGCAGACAAAUCCCAAAGGACACUCCACAAACACCUGCCCCCUCCUCCUCAAAACUGUCAAGAUCAUGAAAAACGAGAAAAGUGUGAAACUGUCACAGCCAAGAGGAGCCUAAGGAGACACGGCAGUUAAAUGUAACGUGGUCCCCUGGAGGGUGUCCCAGAGCAGAAAGAGGAUAUUAAGGGGGGAAAAAAAAAACAAGGAAAUCUGAAUAAAGCAUGGACUUUCGUUAAUGAUGUAUCAAUAUCAGUUCAUUCAUUGUCACAUACCAUCCUCAUGUUAAAUGUUAAUAAUCAGGGAAACUGGGUAUAUGUAUUACUAGCCCAAUUUCUGUACUAUCAUCCCAAUUAUUUUGUAAAUCUAAAACUGAAAAAUAAAGUCUAGUUGUAAAAACAAAAAA